rnacentral:rRNA from 1 species
AUACGUAGGGGGCGAGCGUUGUCCGGAAUGAUUGGGCGUAAAGGGCGCGUAGGCGGCGCGGUAAGUCUGGAGUGAAAGUCCUGCUUUCAAGGUGGGAAUUGCUUUGGAUACUGCCGCGCUUGAGUGCAGGAGAGGUUAUCGGAAUUCCCGGUGUAGCGGUGAAAUGCGUAGAGAUCGGGAGGAACACCAGUGGCGAAGGCGGGUAACUGGACUGCAACUGACGCUGAGGCGCGAAAGUGUGGGGAGCAAACAGGAUUAGAUACCCUGGUAGUCCACACUGUAAACGAUGAAUGCUAGGUAUAAGAGGUAUCGACCCCUUUUGUGCCGAAGUCAACACAAUAAGCAUUCCGCCUGGGGAGUACGGCCGCAAGGUUGAAACUCAAAUGAAUUGGCGGGG